AGCGAACGCUGGCGGCAGGCUUAACACAUGCAAGUCGAACGGGCGUAGCAAUACGUCAGUGGCAGACGGGUGAGUAACGCGUGGGAACGUACCUUUUGGUUCGGAACAACCCAGGGAAACUUGGGCUAAUACCGGAUAAGCCCUUACGGGGAAAGAUUUAUCGCCGAAAGAUCGGCCCGCGUCUGAUUAGCUAGUUGGUGAGGUAACGGCUCACCAAGGCGACGAUCAGUAGCUGGUCUGAGAGGAUGAUCAGCCACAUUGGGACUGAGACACGGCCCAAACUCCUACGGGAGGCAGCAGUGGGGAAUAUUGGACAAUGGGCGGCAAGCCUGAUCCAGCCAUGCCGCGUGAGUGAUGAAGGCCCUAGGGUUGUAAAGCUCUUUUGUGCGGGAAGAUAAUGACGGUACCGCAAGAAUAAG
rnacentral:rRNA from 1 species